rnacentral:rRNA from 1 species
UACGAAGGGGGCUAGCGUUGCUCGGAAUUACUGGGCGUAAAGGGCGCGUAGGCGGACAUUUAAGUCAGAGGUGAAAGCCCAGGGCUCAACCUUGGAACUGCCUUUGAUACUGGAUGUCUUGAGUUCGGGAGAGGUGAGUGGAAUGCCGAGUGUAGAGGUGAAAUUCGUAGAUAUUCGGAAGAACACCAGUGGCGAAGGCGGCUCACUGGCCCGGUACUGACGCUCAGGUGCGAAAGCGUGGGGAGCAAACAGGG